CAGUUCAUCCGACCUUGGUAAAAAUACUAUUGAUAGCCUAUCCAUUAUAUCAUUAAUAUCCAUAGGGAUAUCUCGUCUGAUAAUUAAAAUACCGAAAAAACCUAAUUACAAACCCAGAUAAAUGUUAUUCCCUUUAAAACACCGGGCUUAUAAUAUACCCGUAAAGUGUUUAUGAGCGCUUAUUCAUUUUCUCGUGAUGUGGUCGAUAAAACCUAUACUCUUAUCUCUAACUAGUACUUUAUGGAAUCGAUUUCUCGACAUGUCAGUCUAUUGUCUUUCGAUCAUAGUACAUCGAUUAUACUAUGGUACAUUGCCGUGAAAUGUAUAUUUUA